UACGAAGGGGGCUAGCGUUGUUCGGAAUUACUGGGCGUAAAGAGCUCGUAGGCGGUCUGUCGCGUCGAUCGUGAAAACUUGGGGCUUAACCCUGAGCUUGCGGUCGAUACGGGUAUGACUGGAGUUCGGCAGGGGAGACUGGAAUUCCUGGUGUAGCGGUGAAAUGCGCAGAUAUCAGGAGGAACACCGGUGGCGAAGGCGGGUCUCUGGGCCGAUACUGACGCUGAGGAGCGAAAGCGUGGGGAGCGAACAGG
rnacentral:rRNA from 1 species